CCUACGGGAGGCAGCAGUGGGGAAUAUUGCACAAUGGGGGAAACCCUGAUGCAGCGACGCCGCGUGAGUGAAGAAGCGUCUCGGCGCGUACAGCUCUGUCAGCAGGAACGAUAAUGAGGGUACCUGACGAAGAAACCUCGGCUAACUACGUGCCAGCAACCGCGGUCAUACGUAGGGGGCAAGCGUUCUCCGGAUUUACUGGGUGUAAGGGGAGCGGAGACUGUGGGGCAAGUCUGGAGUGAAGGGCCGGGGCCCAACCGCGGGACGGCUCCGGAAACUGCUCGGCUGGAGUGCGGGAGAGGUGAGCGGAACUCCUAGUGUAGCGGUGAAAUGCGUAGAUAUGAGGAGGAACACCAGUGGCGAAGGCGGCUUACUGGACUGCGACUGACGUUGAGGCUCGAAAGCGUGGGGAGCAAACAGGAUUAGAUACCCCUGUAGUC
rnacentral:rRNA from 1 species